rnacentral:misc_RNA from 1 species
UUUGAUGAUGAGCUUUCUCCAGGGUAAGACUGGUCACUGGUCCAACUUGCAUGAUCUCAUUUGCACAAAUGCUUCCUGUUAGGUCGUUAAUAAUCAUUUUUUGUUAUUACUGUUUUCUUCUUCUGAUCGUAUUUUUCCAUGUAAAUAAGAUCAUUGUUCUUGUUGUCCUGUUUAUCAGGAAAAAUUGUUAUUCUCCAUUCUCCGGGCUGUCAAUAUUGUCUCAUUAGAUUGGGAGCCAUAUGAAACAUUCAUGAUUCAUUUUCAAGUUUGAUUUUGUAUUGAAAAUGUACUUCAU